rnacentral:rRNA from 1 species
AUUGAACGCUGGCGGCAGGCCUAACACAUGCCAGUCGAGCGGAUGAAGGGAGCUUGCUCCUGGAUUCAGCGGCGGACGGGUGAGUAAUGCCUAGGAAUCUGCCUGGUAGUGGGGGAUAACGUCCGGAAACGGGCGCUAAUACCGCAUACGUCCUGAGGGAGAAAGUGGGGGAUCUUCGGACCUCACGCUAUCAGAUGAGCCUAGGUCGGAUUAGCUAGUUGGUGGGGUAAAGGCCUACCAAGGCGACGAUCCGUAACUGGUCUGAGAGGAUGAUCAGUCACACUGGAACUGAGACACGGUCCAGACUCCUACGGGAGGCAGCAGUGGGGAAUAUUGGACAAUGGGCGAAAGCCUGAUCCAGCCAUGCCGCGUGUGAAGAAGGUCUUCGGAUUGUAAAGCACUUUAAGUUGGGAGGAAGGGCAGUAAGUUAAUACCUUGCUGUUUUGACGUUACCAACAGAAUAAGCACCGGCUAACUUCGUG